rnacentral:rRNA from 1 species
GGAUUAGCGGCGAACGGGUGAGGAACACGUGAGGAAUCUGCCUUCAACACUGGGAUAACUCCGGGAAACCGGGGCUAAUACCGGAUACGAGACCUGCAGGCAUCUGCGGGUCUGGAAAGUUUUUCGGUUGAAGAUGACCUCGCGGCCUAUCAGCUUGUUGGUGAGGUAAUGGCUCACCAAGGCGACGACGGGUAGCCGGCCUGAGAGGGCGACCGGCCACACUGGGACUGAGACACGGCCCAGACUCCUACGGGAGGCAGCAGUGGGGAAUAUUGGGCAAUGGAGGGAACUCUGACCCAGCGACGCCGCGUGCGGGAUGAAGGCCUUCGGGUUGUAAACCGCUUUCAGCAAGGAAGAAGCGAAAGUGACGGUACUUGCAGAAGAAGCACCGGCUAACUAUGUGCCAGCAGCCGCGGUAAUACAUAGGGUGCAAGCGUUGUCCGGAAUUAUUGGGCGUAAAGAGCUCGUAGGUGGUUCGUCACGUCGGAUGUGAAAAUCUGGGGCUU